UAUAAUAUAAGAUUAUUCCAUGAUCAUAAUAUAUAUUUUUGUUGUUUAUAUCUCGUUUUUGGAAGAAGAAUCUUCAAAACAAAGAACAUUAAAAACAAACCAUUAAAGAAUUUCUGUAUUACAAAUAAGUUGUUUGAGAAUUAUUUCCUUUGAAUUAAAUAAAUUGGACAAAAAAAUACAUCCCUUGAGAUUUUCCAUACUUCUAUCAGGGUUUCUACAAACAACUCAAAAGCAUACUUGCCUUGUACAGAGAAUGAUUUUGUAUUUUAUGUCUUGUUUUUUACACACUUGAGUGUAUUAAUGUUGGUUAUGUACAUGUCGAGGGAGAUAUAUAAGCUUUUGAACACAACUGCAAACCUGUGACUCCAUAUGUUUAUGUAUAAAAGCUUCUUUCAUAGAGA